CGGAGGGGGCGAGCGUUGUUCGGAAUCAUUGGGCGUAAAGGGCGCGUAGGCGGCCUUGCAAGUCGGGUGUGAAAUCCCUCGGCUCAACCGAGGAACCGCACUCGAUACUGCCGGGCUAGAGUCCGGGAGGGGAUGGUGGAAUUCCCAGUGUAGCGGUGAAAUGCGUAGAUAUUGGGAAGAACACCGGUGGCGAAGGCGGCCAUCUGGACCGGUACUGACGCUGAGGCGCGAAAGCUAGGGGAGCGAAUGGGAUUAGAUACCCCGGUAGUCCUAGCUGUAAACGAUGGGCACUUGAUGUGGCAGGUUCUGACCCCUGCCGUGUCGAAGCUAACGCGUUAAGUGCCCCGCCUGGGGAGUACGGUCGCAAGGCUG
rnacentral:rRNA from 1 species